CAGAGGGUGCGAACGUUGCUCGGAAUUACUGGGCGUAAAGCGCGUGUAGGCGGGACGAUAAGUCGGAAGUGAAAUCCCCGGGCUCAACCCGGGAACUGCUUUCGAAACUGUCGUCCUCGAGUACCGGAGAGGGUGGCGGAAUUCCUGGUGUAGAGGUGAAAUUCGUAGAUAUCAGGAGGAACACCGGUGGCGAAGGCGGCCACCUGGACGGUCACUGACGCUGAGACGCGAAAGCGUGGGGAGCAAACAGGAUUAGAUACCCUGGUAGUCCACGCCGUAAACGAUGGGUGCUGGGUGUCGCGGGUAUUGACCCCCGCGGUGCCGUAGCCAACGCGUUAAGCACCCCGCCUGGGAAGUACGGCCGCAAGGCUA
rnacentral:rRNA from 1 species